UCCUUAAACGAUGCCGACAGGAGUUUGUCAUUUGUUAAUGGCAGAAAUCUUUGGAGAAAAUCAUAGUUCUUGGGCUCUGGGGGGAACUACGACCGCAAGGCUGAAACUUGAAGGAAUUGACGGAAGGGCACACCAGGGGUGGAGCCUGUGGCUUAAUUUGAAUCAACACGGGGAAACUUACCAGGACCAGAUGUUUUUUAUGACUGACAGGCUUCGGGUCUUUCAGGAUAUUGUUUUUGGUGGUGCAUGGCCGUUGGUGGUGCGUGGGUUGACCUGUCUAGCGUUGAUUCAGCUAACGAGCGAGAUUAUCGCCAAUUAUUUACUUUGCCGAAGUCCUUCGGUUAAAGUUCUAAUUGGGACUCCCUGCGAUUUUAGCAGGUGGAAGAGGGUAGCAAUAACAGGUCCGUGAUGCCCUUUAGAUGCUCUGGGCUGCACGCGUGCUACAAUGUUAGGAUCAAUAGGACUGCGAGCCUGAGAGGGUGCGCUACUCUUAUAAUCCCUAACGUAGUUGGGAUUGACGUUUGUAAUCAGCGUCAUGAACCAGGAAUCCCUUGUAAAUGUGUGUCAACAACGCACGUUGAAUACGUCCCUGCCCUUUGUACACACCGCCCGUCGCUCCUACCGAUUGGAUGACUCGGUGAAAUCACCGGAUGCUUACGAGCAGAAAGUGAUUAAAUCACGUUAUCUAGAGGAAGGAGAAGUCGUAACAAGGUAACGGUAGGUGAACCUGCCGUUGGAUCAGUU
rnacentral:ncRNA from 1 species